CUCAUCUAUACCGGAAGUGGCGUAGUGUUUAUGUACGGAUCUUCAGCACGCGCGGUUUAUGUGUUGCAUGGUGGUAAAGCGCGACACCGGCAAACACUUCUAAAGUUAUUUUAAUGUUUAAACUUUUAUCAAAUUGCGAUCUAGAGUUUUUCAAAUGUCUGUCCUGCUAUCAGAUGAUCGCGGGUGGCUGUUGGACGCAUGUUCUUUCAUAAAUGAAGGAUUUCGGCGGUGCUACAGUGUAAACAAGGGCCACUUCAGGUGCUAUUUCAAGAAGCAGUACUUUGAUAUACAGAAGCCUCAUAUAGUGAGUAAGUGCAGGAGUGAUAGUAUGAUCAGUGCUGUAGCACACACAGAGAGCCAUGUGGAUGGGGAUGCCAGAAUGGAGUUAAAGACACGAAGGAAGAGGAAGCGUAAAAGAAGUGAGCUGAAUCAGGGGGAGUUGGAUGCUGAAGAAUAUCAUAAAAAGGUCAGGUUGUUGGUUCUGGAGGGCACUCGGUCUCUACUGGAAAGUGGGCAUCACUGUGGUUAUCUGACAGAAGAUUUACAUACAGUGCCAACAAAACAAAUGCCUGUUCAUGAGUGCCAGCUGGCUGCACUAUGUGACAUGGCCAAGCAGCUGCUUAAAACGGAGAAUUCUGAAGCCCCACACGUGCAGGCUGUUAAUGGCCAUGCAGACUCGGAUGCACACCUUGAUCUGUUCUCGUGCCUCACAGAAAAUCCAGAUGACUGUGCCCGUGAGGUAACGCUAAUGGGGGAGACGUAUUUCCUGCCUCCUCGCAGCCGUUUCCUGUUGUCUGACAUCACAUGUUUACAACCACUUAUCCGCAAUGGAGACAAAUAUGACCUAAUAGUUCUUGAUCCACCCUGGGAAAAUAAAUCUGUGAAAAGAAGCAGUAGGUACAGUUUUCUGCCAUCUUCUCAGCUCAAAAAACUUCCUGUGCCAUUGUUGAGUGCAGCAGGAUGUGUGGUGGUUACUUGGGUAACCAACCGUCCUCGCCAUCUCCGGUUCGUCAAAGAGGAACUUUAUCCUCACUGGGGAGUGAAGCUACUUGCAGAGUGGCUCUGGGUGAAGGUGACCCGGAAAGGGGAGGUAGUUUUCCCCCUGGAUUCGCCACACAAGAAACCUUACGAAGUGUUAUUACUUGGAAGGUUCUGUGCUAGCAGUGACAGCACAACUAGAGCAGCUGAGAUGUGUAACUAGACACAAGGUGGUAUAUUUCCUUUACUACUUCUAAAAAAAAAUACAUUUUGCUGAUUUUUGACUGGUUGGUUGUAACAAACUGCGAAUCUCUUUGUGGUUUAUUCAAUACGCUGCCUGGUCACAUUACUGUCUAAAAGUUUGUACGGAUGAUGAUAAUUACCUGCAGCCUGGUAAUUUCUAUACAGCAGCAAAUUACACUUGGCAAGUUUUAUUCACAAAUAUGGGCACCCCAAAAGCAUGGUCUUUGUAUAUGUGUUUUAAGUUAUACCAAAUUGUUCACACACUAUCCCGUUUGUUUCAGAUCUGAAGUGUGUGAGAUCCCAGAUCAACGGCUCAUAAUUAGCAUUCCCUCAGCACUGCACUCUCAGAAGCCAGCUCUCUCAGCUGUGCUGAAGCCAUACAUUAGGCCUAAAGCUAAGUGUCUGGAAAUGUUUGCUCGAAGUCUCCAGC